rnacentral:rRNA from 1 species
UUUGAUCCUGGCUCAGGACGAACGCUGGCGGCGUGCCUAAUACAUGCAAGUCGAGCGAAGUGGAGAGAGCUUGCUCUCGAAACUUAGCGGCGGACGGGUGAGUAACACGUAGGCAACCUGCCUGUAAGUCUGGGAUAACUCCGGGAAACCGGAGCUAAUACCGGAUAACUUGUAAGACCGCAUGGUCUUACACUAAAAGGACAUGAUCCUCUUACAGAUGGGCCUGCGGCGCAUUAGCUUGUUGGUGAGGUAACGGCUCACCAAGGCAACGAUGCGUAGCCGACCUGAGAGGGUGACCGGCCACACUGGGACUGAGACACGGCCCAGACUCCUACGGGAGGCAGCAGUAGGGAAUCUUCCGCAAUGGACGAAAGUCUGACGGAGCAACGCCGCGUGAGUGAUGAAGGUUUUCGGAUUGUAAAACUCUGUUGUCAGGGAAGAACACCCUAGAUGGACUCUAGGAUUGAUGGUACCUGACGAGAAAGCCCCGGCUAACUACGUGCCAGCAGCCGCGGUAAUACGUAGGGGGCAAGCGUUGUCCGGAAUUAUUGGGCGUAAAGCGCGCGCAGGCGGUCCUUUAAGUCUGAUGUGAAAGUCCACGGCUCAACCGUGGGAUUGCAUUGGAAACUGGGGGACUUGAGUGCAGUAGAGGAGAGUGGAAUUCCUGGUGUAGCGGUGAAAUGCGUAGAGAUCAGGAGGAACAUCAAUGGCGAAGGCAGCUCUCUGGACUGUAACUGACGCUGAGGCGCGAAAGCGUGGGUAGCAAACAGGAUUAGAUACCCUGGUAGUCCACGCCGU